rnacentral:misc_RNA from 1 species
GUAGGUGAACCUGCGGAAGGAUCAUUAACACGUAUCCACGUAUCAACACUCUGUGAACUUAAAUUCUCCCUGUCAUUGGAGGUGCUGUUAACAUGGUUAGUGAUGGGUGUAUAGCCUAAAAACUAUACGCAAUCAUGUUGACUAGGGCUUCGAGCCCAGAGCGCACCGAUGAUAGGCCUUCAUUUCUAUCACUACCAACAAACAAUUUUAACUAUAACUCAUCUUGACUGAUGUACUUAUGUAAGAGAAAUCUGGCAUGAGUCUUUAUCUAAACUAAGCACAACUCUUAGCAAUGGAUAUCUUGGUUCUC